AACUUUAGGCGGUGGAUCACUCGGCUCGUGCGUCGAUGAAGAACGCAGCCAGCUGCGUGAAUUAAUGUGAAUUGCAGGACACAUUGAACAUCGACAUUUUGAACGCAUAUUGCGGCCAAGGGUCCGUCUCUUGGCCACGCCCGUUUGAGGGUCG